rnacentral:rRNA from 1 species
CGUAGGUGGCAAGCGUUGUCCGGAAUUAUUGGGCGUAAAGCGCGCGCAGGCGGUUCCCUAAGUCUGAUGUGAAAGCCCCCGGCUCAACCGGGGAAGGUCAUUGGAAACUGGGGAACUUGAGUGCAGAAGAGAAGAGCGGAAUUCCACGUGUAGCGGUGAAAUGCGUAGAGAUGUGGAGGAACACCAGUGGCGAAGGCGGCUCUUUGGUCUGUAACUGACGCUGAGGCGCGAAAGCGUGGGGAGCAAACAGGAUUAGAUACCCUGGUAGUCCACGCUGUAAACGAUGAGUGCUAAGUGUUAGAGGGUUUCCGCCCUUUAGUGCUGCAGCUAACGCAUUAAGCACUCCGCCUGGGGAGUACGGCCGCAAGGCUG